rnacentral:rRNA from 1 species
UACGUAGGCAGCGAGCGUUGUUCGGAGUUACUGGGCGUAAAGGGUGUGUAGGCGGUUCUUUAAGUCGGGUGUGAAAGCCCCGGGCUCAACCUGGGAAUUGCAUUCGAGACUGAAUAGCUAGGGUACGGUAGAGGGAAGCGGAAUUUCCGGUGUAGCGGUGAAAUGCGUAGAUAUCGGAAGGAACAUCAGUGGCGAAAGCGGCUUCCUGGACCAGUACCGACGUUCAGGCACGAAAGCGUGGGGAGCAAACAGG